AGGACUCGUAAAUUAAGCGUCUGAAAAGCAGGGUAGCCCCUGCAUGGCUGGUGUCCUGGGGAAUGCAGCAGACACGAGGCUCCACCGACUGUCUCAGAGUUGCUGUCUCAGUGGGAUGAGGGGCCCAGGUCCUUGCAGGACAGGCACGCCCAUGUAUUCCUGGGUGCCCAGACCGUGAGGGGGAACGUUGUUGCUCAGCUGUUGCCACAGAAUGCUGGGUAACAAAUCACCCUCAACCAGAGGCCUAAGCCAGCAGCCACGUGUCCUCACAGGUCGGGCGGCACACACAGAUCUCACCUCACACCCAAGACAGCGGCGGGCUGCCUCUGGCCUGGCCUGGUCUGAACCUGCUCCGGAGUCUCCGUGCCACGAGUCUCCUGUCCCCUGGGACCGGCGAGCGAGCCCAGGUAUGUCCUUCUCCUGACAAGAGCGGGCACGUGUGUGGGUCCAGGAAACAUCAGUGGCUCUUCUGUCCGAAGCAGGGAGCCGGCCCCACCCCUUCAGACUCCGUGUCCUGGUCCAAGCACCACACAUGUGCCAACUCAAAGUCCAGGCCCACGUAGGACGCACAAGGGAUGAAGAUGAGGGGAGCACGAAACCUGCCAUACACUCGACCCUGCACCUCCGACCUUUUCCCCAGAUGGGCUGGUUCCUGUUACAAGGAACGGACAGGGCUGAAGGAGAGGAGGGCCAUCACAGACGCAGAUCAUCCCAGCUAUUCCGAGCCGCGCCGCCCACCCUGUGCUGGGAGUCGGGGUGUGCGAGCAUGAGAACUGCAGAGACAGAAUCUGAGACCGGAUGAGGGGCAUUUGUUUCCUUGCUGUGUCCACGUGAGGCCCGCUCCCCCGUGAGUUUCUCCAGGGCAGAUCUCACCACAUGCCAAGCUCAGAGGCCCCGAGGGGAGCUGAUCAGAGCCAGACUCAGCCCGACCCUUCAGGGGGAUGAGCUGGAGCUUACUGGGCCCCUGAUACGUGCCAGGGCCUCACGGGCACUUCAGGUGGGAGCCAGCAGGAAGCAGCCCGCCCCGAGACCAGGCAAACAGGAGUGACGUGAACAGCUGACAGGCACCCAGGAGUCAGCACGUAGUUACUGGGGCCCCGUGUGGACACGGCUCUGUGGGGAACCUGACAGGGGCCUGGAUGCAGAGCCUCAGCAGACACACGUUAUGCUGGCAGGGCCAGAUGUUGUGUUGCAUGGGACUAUUAUCUCCGGGGAUCGAGGGAGGGGGUGACAGAAGAUGCCACACUCUCCUGUCACGGAAGGAACAUGGCCGCAGAUAAGAAACCUUCUCCUUCAGACACAGGCAGCCCACCUCAUGUGCUUCCAUGUUAGAAGU
rnacentral:lncRNA from 1 species